rnacentral:lncRNA from 1 species
CCCAGUGAGCAGAAUAAUAUGAAACAUUAUAUUAAAAUUUUAUGCUUUCAUGGAAUGCAACACAUCACAACAAAUCACAUCUCGGAUGGUAUUGUCACCUAUAGUCCUCUACAUAGGUCCAACUGUGCCGGGACGUAGAAUGGGUCAACCGGUCUUUCCCUUAUCAUAACAUAUCAUAUGGACCAACUGUGCCAGGGACGUAGAAUGGGUACAACCUGGACUUUCUCUUACAUCGUGCCAGGGACGUAGAAUGGGUACAACCUGGACUUCCAUACCAUAACAUGCCAUAACAUCAAUCAUAUCAUAGGAGGACUAAAGGAUCAUCCAAU